rnacentral:rRNA from 1 species
AGAGUUUGAUCCUGGCUCAGAAUCAACGCUGGCGGCGUGCCUAACACAUGCAAGUCGUACGAGAAAGUGGGAGCAAUCCCAUGAGUAAAGUGGCAACCGGGUGAGUAACACGUGACUAACCUACCUUCGAGUGGGGGAUAACCUCGGGAAACCGGGGCUAAUACCGCAUAACAUCGUCGGGUGAAAUUCCUGACGAUCAAAGCAGCAAUGGGCUUGAAGAGGGGGUCGCGGCUGAUUAGCUAGUUGGUGAGGUAACGGCCCACCAAGGCAGUGAUCAGUAUCCGGCCUGAGAGGGCGCACGGACACACUGGAACUGAAACACGGUCCAGACUCCUACGGGAGGCAGCAGUGGGGAAUUUUGCGCAAUGGGGGAAACCCUGACGCAGCAACGCCGCGUGGAGGAUGAAGUCCCUUGGGAUGUAAACUCCUUUCGAUCGGGACGAUAAUGACGGUACCGGGAGAAGAAGCCACGGCUAACUCUGUGCCAGCAGCCGCGGUAAGACAGAGGUGGCGAGCGUUGUUCGGAUUUAUUGGGCGUAAAGCGUACGCAGGCGGUUUGGUAAGUCAGAGGUGAAAGUCCACGGCUUAACCGUGGCACUGCCUUUGAUACUGCCUUUCUUGAGUAGAGUAGGGGGAAGCGGAAUUCCGAGUGUAGAGGUGAAAUUCGUAGAUAUUCGGAGGAACACCGGUGGCGAAGGCGGCUUCCUGGACUCUAACUGACGCUCAUGUACGAAAGCGUGGGUAGCAAACAGGAUUAGAUACCCUGGUAGUCCACGCCCUAAACGAUGGGCACUAGGUGUGGGAGGUAUCGACCCCUUCCGUGCCGCAGCUAACGCAUUAAGUGCCCCGCCUGGGGAGUACGGCCGCAAGGUUGAAACUCAAAGGAAUUGACGGGGGCCCGCACAAGCGGUGGUGCAUGUGGUUCAAUUCGACGCAACGCGAAGAACCUUACCCAGGCUUGAACUGCGAGUGACCACUCCCGAAAGGGAGCUUCCGCAAGGACGCUCGUAGAGGUGCUGCAUGGCUGUCGUCAGCUCGUGUCGUGAGAUGUUGGGUUAAGUCCCGCAACGAGCGCAACCCUUGUUCUCUGUUGCCAUCAGGUUAUGCUGGGCACUCUGAGGAGACUGCCGGUGAUAAACCGGAGGAAGGUGGGGAUGACGUCAAGUCAGCAUGGCCUUUAUGUCUGGGGCCACACACGUGCUACAAUGGCCGGUACAAACCGCUGCGAUCCCGCGAGGGGGAGCUAAUCGGAGAAAGCCGGUCUCAGUUCGGAUUGUAGGCUGCAACUCGCCUGCAUGAAGUUGGAAUCGCUAGUAAUCGCAGAUCAGCAGGCUGCGGUGAAUACGUUCCCGGGCCUUGUACACACCGCCCGUCACAUCACGAAAGCCGGCUGUACUAGAAGUCGCUGAGCUAACCCGCAAGGGGGGCAGGUGCCUAAGGUAUGGUCGGUGAUUGGGGUGAAGUCGUAACAAGGUAUCC